ensembl:lncRNA
GUAAAUCGCACGUCGAGGGCUUUCUUGCCGCCUGCUUUGCAAAGAGCAGGGCCCGUUCGGGUGAAAGCAGGAAGGCGUUCUGAACUCCCGGCCCUGGCAAGUGGGAGCUGAGCCGGUGUCCCCCCCCCCGCCCUCGCCCAUCCCCGGGGCUACCUGCAAGUUGCCGGCCUCGCCCGGCUGCUCCGCCCGGUCCCUGCCCUGUCCGGCACGGGGGGAGGUCAGAGCUGGGGGUGGAAGGGUAAAAAAUGGGGAGGGAAAAAGGGGAGGGAGAAGAGGGGAAAGGGGAAAAAGUUGGGGGGAAGGGGGGAAAAUAAAGAAUAAAUAGGAAAGGAGUGAGAAAUGGAAGGAAUGGAGGAAAAAAAGGGGGGGAGGGGAAAGGAAAGAGGGAAUGAAAGGAAAAGCGUGGCGAAGAAAUGGAGGAAAAAAGGAGAGAGAAAGAAAGGAAAAGAAAAUGAAAGAAAGGAAAAUAAAGGGGAGAAAAGAGGGGAGGGGCAAGGAAGAAAUAAAAGAACAACAGAUGAUAAGAGAGACAGAAAAGGAAAGCAUGAAAAAGAAAAGGGAAAAGCAUUCCCAGUGACAGAAGCGCUGCCCGCCCCGUUCGCUGCCCCGCGCUGCCCCAGGCGGGCAGCAGCCCCCGGCCCACACUCCUGCCUCGGGCACGCGUGGGAGAGCGGCCAGCCGGGCUGGGGCGGCGCGGGACCUCCAGGACCCCCCCCCACCGUCUCAUAUAUAUAACUUUGUUGUUGUUGUUGUUAAUUCAAUUUCACACCCAGCUGCACCUGCAAACGUAACACCCACCCCUCGUUCCAAUCCUCCAUCCAUCCUUCCGUCCUUCCGUCCACCUCUCCAUCCAUCCACCACCCCGGAGCCGCACCCCACGCUGGCCGCGGUUCUUCUCCAUCCUCCCGUCCCGAUUCGCAUCCCUGCGCCUGCCGCCCUUUCACUUAGGGCCGGGUUCUGUGCCUCUCUGGGCGUCGCGUCCCCCCUUGGUUCUCCAUAUCCCCCACCCUGGGGGGAAACCACCCCAUUCUCCUGGCCCUCCCCGUCUCAGAACCGUCGCAGUUUCCACGCGUUGCGAUUUAAUAGGAAAUAAACAUCAAACCCAUCGGCCCGGCCGGGGCUGCGGGAAAACUCGGGGCACUCUAUUUUAUUAUUUUUUCUUGCUUAUUUUUAUCCUUCCCCCAUUAAAAAGAAAUAGGGAAGAGAUUCCUCUCGCCCAGAGCCACCCCCCCUCCCCCGGGUUCCGUCAGAGAGGGGAAAUAUUUCGCUGAGAGACGACCGCAGCGAGAGAGCAAAAAAAUAAACCCCAAUCCGCUCCCGCCGACACCCAAAGCCCCGUUUUUAGCUGUCCCGUAAAUAAGGAGCCGGCAGACUCUGCAUCAUCCUUCGCUAUUUACUCUUUUGAAGGUUAGGCAGGGCAGAGGAUCCCCACCGACCGCUUUUGCAUACAAUCCUGCCGGGGCCGCCUGCCCGCACCGCUCGGCAGCAGAAACCUUCGGGGCGGUUCGGGGCAGGAGACGUCCCUUUGGCAAGCGGGGCAGCGCGGCUCUCCUGCCCGACGUGCCAUUCCCUUGCGCUUUGAUGUCCGCUGCCUUUGAGCCAUCUCUGCAUGUCAUUAGGGGCCCGGACAAUUAAAGAAGUGCCUUCGCACCCCCCCUCUCCCAACCCCUCCCCGCAGCGGAGGGGAAGUCGGAAAAAAAUAAAUACAUCGGCCAACACGGCGAGCCGAUGCGGGGCUGAGUUCGCCUUCGGAUCGCGGCCGUGAGAUGGGAAAGUCGCCCGCAGGGGAGCGGGAGGAGCCGCGACGGUGACAGCGACAGUGACUGCCGGUCCGGCCGCUCGCCGCCGGCUUUGGUGGCGGAUUGGGUGGGGAGUCCUUCUGCCGCCCGGGUACGCGGCUCCGUCCUCGGGGCGGUCGGAUGCCGCUCGGUCUCCCCGAAAGUCAAAUAAUAAAAAAAAAAAAAAUAGAAAUUUAAAAUAAUAAUAAUAAUUAAAAAAUCGAUCUGUGGGAAUGAAGGGCGGAAGCGGAGCUUAACGCGCUGCUCUUUCUGAGGGGCUGGUAGAGGGGAAAUGCGGCUGGGAGGGUUCGGAGGAGGCUGGGGAUGCUCGGGUGUAGAAAUAGGCUAUCUAUCUAUCUACCUGUAUCUAUUAAUAGCGAUACCAUACAAAUAACGAGUAGAGGAAGGUCGCGGAGUGCAGCCCCGCUCCCGCCGGGCUGGGGCUGCCCGUGGCCGGGAGGUGAGCCUCUCCCGGGCCGUUCCCACGCGUGUCCCCUCCCCGCACGGCGACACGAGUUCGGUGGCAGGUCAUUGGCGAGUGCUGUCCCCGAGAGCCCGUCACUGCCGGGCACCCGCUCGGUCGGAAGCAGGGACCUGGCACGGGGACGGGGACACGCGUGCACAACCCGCCCCCGGUCUCCGUGGGCCUCGAGAGACGUCUCCUUCCCGAGUCCCCGCGUGUGCGAUGCCACUCGUGUUCGUGCCCAGCGGCCGAGCCCCGGCCCCGUUAAACGCUCGUUUUCCUCUUUUUCACCGUGUUGCCAACGAGAAAAUGAGGAUGGGGUCUUUUUCCCUCCUGUUCUUGCCCACGCGGGGACGGGGCACUGCCUGUGGUACCGGCAGCGGCGCUUCCCCGUGACACGGACACGGGAGAAAUGCCGCUCGGAGAGAGGAACGAAAAAGCGCCGCGGAGCCGGGGAGGACAACGGAAUAACGCGCAAAAAGAGGGGGGAAACAAAAAAAGGAAAGGAAAACAAACAAACAAACAACAACAAAAUAAAGGAAAGAAAAGCAGGAAGAAGCGCGCGGCUCCUGGGGCAGCGGCGAGGCGCGGCGAGUCGGCUACCGCGCAGCCCCGUUCCUUCUCCGACGGCCCCACAACGACUCGAGCCCUCGGCAACGAGCUGUGG